GAUGAACGCUGGCGGCGUGCUUAACACAUGCAAGUCGAACGGUGAAAGAGAGCUUGCUCUCUGGAUCAGUGGCGAACGGGUGAGUAACACGUGAGCAAUCUGCCCCUUACUCUGGGAUAAGCGCUGGAAACGGCGUCUAAUACCGGAUACGAGCUGCGAAGGCAUCUUCAGCAGCUGGAAAGAACUUCGGUCAGGGAUGAGCUCGCGGCCUAUCAGCUAGUUGGUGAGGUAACGGCUCACCAAGGCGUCGACGGGUAGCCGGCCUGAGAGGGUGACCGGCCACACUGGGACUGAGACACGGCCCAGACUCCUACGGGAGGCAGCAGUGGGGAAUAUUGCACAAUGGGCGAAAGCCUGAUGCAGCAACGCCGCGUGAGGGACGACGGCCUUCGGGUUGUAAACCUCUUUUAGCAGGGAAGAAGCGAAAGUGACGGUACCUGCAGAAAAAGCGCCGGCUAACUACGUG
rnacentral:rRNA from 1 species